rnacentral:misc_RNA from 1 species
GAUGAAGAACGCAGCGAAAUGCGAAAAGUAAUGUGAAUUGCAGAAUUCAGUGAAUCAUCGAGUCUUUGAACGCACAUUGCGCCCCCUGGUAUUCCGGGGGGCAUGCCUGUCCGAGCGUCAUUGCUGCCCUCAAGCACGGCUUGUGUGUUGGGCCCCGUCCCCUCCCCCGGGGACGGGCCCGAAAGGCAGCGGCGGCACCGCGUCCGAUCCUCGAGCGUAUGGGGCUUUGUCACCCGCUCUGUAGGCCCGGCCGGCGCCAGCCGACACCCAACUUUUAUUUCUAAGGUUGACCUCGGAUCAGGUAGGGAUACCCGCUGAACUUAAGCAUAUCAAUAAGCGGAGGA